rnacentral:rRNA from 1 species
AUUGAACGCUGGCGGCAUGCCUUACACAUGCAAGUCGAACGGCAGCACGGGUGCUUGCACCUGGUGGCGAGCGGCGAACGGGUGAGUAAUCCAUCGGAACGUACCUUAUUGUGGGGGAUAACGCAGCGAAAGAUGUGCGAAUACCGCAUACGCUACGAGGUGGAAAGCGGAGGAGCGCAAGACCUCUCUGGAUUACACCGUCGGAUACCUGAUUAGCUUGUUGGUGGGGUACAAGCCAACAAAGGCGAGGAGCAGGAGAUGGUCUGAGAGGACGAUCGGCAACACUGGGACUGAGACACGGCCCAGACUCCUACGGGAGGAAGAAGUGGGGAAUUUUGGACAAUGGGGGCAACCCUGAUCAAGAAAUGCCGCGUGAGUGAAGAAGGCCUUCGGGUUGUAAAGCUCUUUUGUCAGGGAAGAAACACCGGCUCUAACACAGUCCGGGAAUGACGGUACCUGAAGAAUAAGCACCGGCUAACUACGUGCCAGCAGCCGCCGUAA